UACGUAGGGUGCGAGCGUUGUCCGGAAUUAUUGGGCGUAAAGAGCUCGUAGGCGGUUUGUCGCGUCGGCCGUGAAAACUUGGGGCUUAACCCCAAGCUUGCGGUCGAUACGGGCAGACUUGAGUUCGGCAGGGGAGACUGGAAUUCCUGGUGUAGCGGUGAAAUGCGCAGAUAUCAGGAGGAACACCGGUGGCGAAGGCGGGUCUCUGGGCCGAUACUGACGCUGAGGAGCGAAAGCAUGGGGAGCGAACAGG
rnacentral:rRNA from 1 species